AUUAAUAAUUAAUAUAUUUAAUAAAAAUAAUUUUAAUUUAAUAAAUAUUUUAAUGGGGGUUAAAGUAUUUUUUAAAGAAAAAAUUUUUAAAUUUAUAGUUAAUUAGUAUUGUGAAAGAAUUUUGAAAUAUUAUGAAAAAUAAAAUUUUUAGAAAGUAAUUUUUAUUUAUUGUAUCUUGUGUAUCAGAGUUUAUUAAAAAUUUUUAAUUUAUAAAUUAAUUUCUCGAAUUUAAAAGAGUUAAAUAAUUAUUAAAGUUAUUGUAGCAAAAUUAUUUUAAAUAAUUAUUUAGAAAUGAAAUGUUAAUCGUUUUUAAAUAUAUCUAGUUUUUAUAGAAAAAAAUUUAAUUUUAAAUUUAAAAAUUAUUUAAUUAAUUUAUUAAUUAAAUAAUUAUUUUAAUUUUAUAAUUUAAGGGAUAAGCUUUAAAUUAAAAUUUUAUAAUAUUAAAUUUUUAUUUUGAAAAUUUUAUAAUUUAUAUUGUUAAUAAAUUUUAUUUUGUUAUAAAUAAUUUCAUUUUUUUAAAAUUUAAAUUUUAUUUAAUUUUUUAUAUAAAAUUUAUUUAUAAUUAUAUAAAGUUAAUUAUAAUGAUAAAAUUAGUAUAUUAUUUAAUAUUAAAUUAAAAUUAAUUUUUGAUUAAUAAUUAAAUUAAUUAAAAGGAAUUCGGCAAAUAUUUAUUUUCACUUGUUUAUCAAAAACAUGUCUUUUUGUUAUUUAAUUUAAAGUCUAAUCUGCCCACUGAUUUAUAAAAAUUGAAGGGCUGCAGUAUAUUGACUGUACAAAGGUAGCAUAAUCAUUAGUCUCUUAAUUGGUGACUUGUAUGAAAGAUUGGAUGAAAAAUAUACUGUCUCUUAAUUAAUAUAUAGAAUUUAAUUUUUUAUUUAAAAAGUUAAAAUAAUUUAAAAAGACGAGAAGACCCUAUAGAGUUUAAUAAAUUAUUUUAUGAAAGUUUUAUUUAUAAUUACUAAUAAUUUUAUAAAUUUAUUUAUUUUGUUGGGGUGAUAAAAAAAUAAAUUUAACUUUUUUUAAGUAAUUUACAUGAAUAAGUGAUUAAU
rnacentral:rRNA from 1 species